UACGUAGGAUGCAAGCGUUGUCCGGAAUUAUUGGGCGUAAAGAGAACGUAGGUGGCUAGUUAAGUUCGGUCUUAAAGACCGGGGCUCAACCCCGGGAAUGGACUGAAAACUGGCUGGCUAGAGGAUGUUAGAGGACGGUGGAAUUCCCAGUGUAGCGGUGAAAUGCGUAGAUAUCGGAAGGAACACCUGUGGCGAAAGCGGCUCACUGGACCAUUACUGACGCUGAUGCACGAAAGCUAGGGGAGCAAACAGG
rnacentral:rRNA from 1 species